UACAACUAGCGGGGGCCAUGGGCUCGUGUUCCUUGGGGAAACAAUUUAAUGGGGGACCAGGAAAUGAAAGUAGGUGCUAUCAGCGGAGUGUUGGUGUUUGUGUGCACAAUGGAUGGAUUAACACAAUGGGAUGGGUUCUGGAGCAGAACCGACGGGUACCGGUACCGGGUCGGUCGCUAGGAUUGGGUCAUGAGUUUACGUCACCAGCUGACAUCAAUCCUGCCGCCAGCAGACUACAGCCACGCCAGAGCAUAUAUACGGAAAAAACAUGUUAAAUAUGCUGUUCAUUAUAACGAUGGUGGAGAGGAAGAAGAGACGUUGUGCAGCUAAGAUCAUCUGUGGCAGGCGCCGCGCUGUUGGACCGACCGAGGAGGUUAUCUG